ensembl:snRNA U1 U1 spliceosomal RNA
CUACUUACCUAGCAGGAGAGAAACAAAGAUCCUGAAGGUGGUUUUCCCCAGGGUAAGGCCUAUCCAUUCCACUCUGGAUGUGCAAUUUCUCCAAGCAUGGGAAAAUCUCCUGCCUAAUUUGUGGUAGUGGGAGACUAUAUUUGUGUUCUCCCA